rnacentral:sRNA from 1 species
GUCGUGAGAUGUUGGGUUAAGUCCCGCAACGAGCGCAACCCUCGUCCCUAGUUACCAGCGGGUAAAGCCGGGAACUCUAGGGAGACUGCCGGUGUCAAACCGGAGGAAGGUGGGGACGACGUCAAGUCAUCAUGGCCCUUACGUCCAGGGCUACACACGUGCUACAAUGGCCGGUACAGAGCGUUGCCAACUCGCGAGAGUGCGCUAAUCGCUAAAAGCCGGUCUAAGUUCGGAUUGGAGUCUGCAACUCGACUCCAUGAAGCCGGAAUCGCUAGUAAUCGCGGAUCAGCUACGCCGCGGUGAAUACGUUCCCGGGCCUUGUACACACCGCCCGUCACGCCAUGGAAGCUGGGGGGACCUGAAGCCGGUGGGCUAACUCGCAAGAGGGGCAGCCGCCAAAGGUCAAUUCAGUGACUGGGGCGAAGUCGUAACAAGGUAGCCGUAGGGGAACCUGCGGCUGGAUCACCUCCUUUCUGGAAUACCGAGUAAGGCGAAUCUUCGGAUUCGUGACGAAAGGUUUCUGGUGUCGCCCGCGCUGUGGACGGCUCUCUCCCAAUUCUUCACUUUCAGCUCUUUGACAAUUGAGGGAUGGAUGGUGUGUCCGGGCUUUCGAGCUCGGACGGGUGUGAGGAAUCAAUACCGGUUGUGCCGGCCCGAUCGCAGGGCCGGACACGACAGCGAAUUUGAGAUCAAACGCAAUAAGGCACACGGCGGAUGCCUUGGCAUCGAGAGGCGAUGAAGGGCGUGAUAAGCUGCGAUAAGCCUGGGGGAGCUGCACAUGAGCCGUGAUCCCAGGAUGC